AUUCAUCACAGUUACGGAAUUUCGCAGAUAAAUGUGUAUAAAAACAUAAUCGAGCUUUUGCAAGUACAACCUAGAAAACCAUCCACAGUUGGAAAAUAUCAUUCAGUACAUGACGAUAGAGUCAAUAAUAUAUAUAUAUAUGCAUAUAUAUAUGUAUAUAUAUUCGGGACUAUUUUUGUCUAGUGGACAAAAUCUCUAAACGAAAGGAAAAACUCGCAAUAACUCUCACGCAUGUAAAUAGUGCGACUUUGAUUUCAUUGACAAAAUUCUACUCCAAUCUCUGAAAAUUGCAACAACGGGACAAAGUAUAGAAAAAAAAAGAAAGCAAAAAGAAAAGAAAAAAA